rnacentral:rRNA from 1 species
GACAGAGGGGGCAAGCGUUGCUCGGAAUUACUGGGCGUAAAGGGCGCGUAGGCGGGAUGGCAAGUCGGUCGUGAAAUCCCUGGGCUCAACUCAGGGGGGUCGGCCGAUACUGCCGUUCUUGAGGGAUGCAGAGGAGACUGGAAUUCCCGGUGUAGCGGUGAAAUGUGUAGAGAUCGGGAGGAACACCUGAGGUGAAGACGGGUUGCUGGGCUGAUACUGACGCUGAGGCGCGAAAGCUAGGGUAGCAAACGGG